AUGUGUGUACGUGUACGGAGUGGAAAAGUUGAAGAAAAGGGGGGAAAAAGAUAAAAACGAAGUGGUGUUAGGGCGAUGGUUAAUGCGAGUCGGAGACUUUCGGAAAGUAUGGUUGAAGGGAUGCAAUCAAGGAUUAAUAAGUUUUAUUUUUACUAAAGCAGUUAAACUAAUAUUAGACCUACAAUUAUUGAUUUGGGUUGGAAUCGGAUCACAAAUUAUGGAAUACUUCCGAGUGAAAACGAAAACAAAAGAUACAAUGCAGCAUAAUAUUUUAAUGAUGGCUGGUGUUUAUUUUUGAAUCUGACUCAACGAAGUGCGGCGAUCAAGGAGCUCGAUAUCACGGUUUCGGGCGUAUUUACGCAAACUAUGGCGGGAUGUUAAUAAACUGAAAAAUGUUGGCAUCGGGAUCUGCCGUAGGAAAUGCGGUCCGACAUAUAUUCAUUAUGUUUACUAAAGCAGUUAGACUAAUAUUAGACCUACAAUUAUUGAUUCGGGGUAAAAUUAAAUCACACAACUUCUGGAAUUGUUCGAGUGAAUACGAAAACGAAAAAACAAUUCAGCAUUUUUUGAAUCGACUCAAACGAAGAAUGGCAAUAGAGGCUUGAAAACGAGGAAAAAGGCCAAAAAAGAGAACCAUAUACAUUUGAAAUUGACGUGGUUGCUGGUCGUUUAACGCAACUGGACUACAGGGCUUUGCAAGGGUAGAAGAUAUUGUUACUGCUGGUGGUCGGGUAAAGGCUGGUCGCUGUAAAUUGAGACAGGACUGAAUGUACAGGAGAGAAGACAAUUCCACAUAACAGUUGGACCACAUUUCGCAGAACAAUAUAACUGAAAGUAUUUAUCUACACAAAAAAUGACGUAUAUCUAUGAAGAACAUUGAACGAAUCGUCGUGAGGAAAGAAAUUGUUUGUCAAAAUUCACAAAUACAAACUGUACUGAGCUGUUUUGGAUCAACUAUCAUCGCAUUCACAUAGUUCACAUUAUUAUUUAGUGAUACUCUGCGCAUUCACAUAUAUUCAGUGUUUCUCAAACGGUUGGACGAGCCUCGCAAUGGGGGCGUAUACCUUAUUUUGGGGGUAGAGAGGGAGCUGAUUAAAAACAUAAAUAUUUGUUGAAUUUGAUCUUGCCUGCCUUAUUUUAUAUAUUUCCUUCUCUUUAUUGUUCAAAGAUUGCGAUUCCAUUCCAUCAACGUUUUUUUUAAUGAGACCUACUUUCGCCUUGCUAACGAUAAGCUCUGUUAUUAAGUUAUUUGAGGUUAAGCGCGAGACUUGGACAAAUUCCAAAAAAAUGGCUCGAUUAAAAAGUUUGAGAACCACUGAAUAAGUGGAGCAUUUUGGUAAUGCAUUGCGAAUCGAGGUGGUGGAGUCCGUCAUCUUGAUUUUAAAGUCUACUGAAGGCCUGUCGAAAUUUAUAUUGAUUUGUGGUAGCAGUGUAUGCCGAUUAAAGUCUAUAUAUGACGAGGAAAACGGCGAAGGUGAAUUCCACUCAAAUUUAAUUAGCCCGUUGUAAUGUAAUGCAUACAAGUAAAUAUUAAUUUCGUGAUUAUUUCUAAAAUAUAGAUAGCACUUUGAAGCUGAAGCGAUAGAAAAUUUCACACGUAAGAAUUUAUCAGUAAUUUUUGUCAAAAGUAAGGUGUAUAAAUGACCUGUGCGGCCUUCAGCUUGACCGCAAGUUCCGAGACUACAUCCAAAUUUCAAACUCGAUUUCGAAAGUUUAUCAAUAAUUUUGUCACCAAAACUAAGCUGCAAUGCAAGUUUUUGAGAAUACAUUCAAAUUACGAAUUUUAAAACGCAAAUUCAUUUUGUUCAUUAUGAAGCUGAAGACGCCGUACUCGUAUUCACUUUGUGUAACAUACCCAUGUUUGCUUGUAUUUACUGUUUCUGUUGUCUUAAUAUUUUCCUUGACGUCAUGAAUUCUUUUCAAGAUGAACUUGACCUUGAUUGUUAACUUGUGCUUUAUUACGUUUGAUCCUUGGCAAAACAAUAAAAUAUCCUCUUAAAUCAUGACA